CUCCUCUCUCUGCCCCCUCUCUGCAGCAGACGGACCAGCAGCAGGAAGUAGGCGGCUCAGCCAGCCGUUCUCAGCUUCAGUGAAACAUCGUCAGGUCAGAUCACUGAGAAGAACAAUGGAAGGAACAUCUCACUGUCUGAUCUUUCUGAUCCUCUUGCUGAGCUGCUCAACAGAUCCAGUCUCUCCAGCUGCUCUGACUGUGAGUCCCAGCAGAUCUCAGUUCUUUGAAAGAGAAAAAGUUUCUCUGAGCUGCUCUGAUGGAGGAACUGUGAGGAGAAACACAACUGGAGGAACCAGGACUGAAUGUGGAGAUGGAUGGGGGAGAUCAGCUGGUUCUACCUGCAGCAUCACCUUGUUCCCAUCAG